AUACGUAGGGUGCGAGCGUUGUCCGGAAUUACUGGGCGUAAAGAGCUCGUAGGUGGUUUGUCGCGUCGUCUGUGAAAUUCCGGGGCUUAACUCCGGGCGUGCAGGCGAUACGGGCAUAACUUGAGUACUGUAGGGGAAACUGGAAUUCCUGGUGUAGCGGUGAAAUGCGCAGAUAUCAGGAGGAACACCGGUGGCGAAGGCGGGUCUCUGGGCAGUAACUGACGCUGAGGAACGAAAGCAUGGGUAGCGAACAGGAUUAGAUACCCUGGUAGUCCAUGCCGUAAACGGUGGGCGCUAGGUGUAGGGGUCUUCCACGACUUCUGUGCCGUAGCUAACGCAUUAAGCGCCCCGCCUGGGGAGUACGGCCGCAAGGCUAAAACUUAAAGGAAUUGACGGGG
rnacentral:rRNA from 1 species